rnacentral:rRNA from 1 species
AGUGAACGCUGGCGGUAGGCCUAACACAUGCAAGUCGAACGGCAGCACAGUAAGAGCUUGCUCUUACGGGUGGCGAGUGGCGGACGGGUGAGGAAUACAUCGGAAUCUACUUUUUCGUGGGGGAUAACGUAGGGAAACUUACGCUAAUACCGCAUACGAUCUACGGGUGAAAGCAGGGGAUCUUCGGACCUUGCGCGUUUGAAUGAGACGAUGUCGGAUUAGCUAGUUGGCGGGGUAAAGGCCCACCAAGGCGACGAUCCGUAGCUGGUCUGAGAGGAUGAUCAGCCACACUGGAACUGAGACACGGUCCAGACUCCUACGGGAGGCAGCAGUGGGGAAUAUUGGACAAUGGGCGCAAGCCUGAUCCAGCCAUACCGCGUGGGUGAAGAAGGCCUUCGGGUUGUAAAGCCCUUUUGUUGGGAAAGAAAAGCAGCAGGUUAAUACCCCGCUGUUCUGACGGUACCCAAAGAAUAAGCACCGGCUAACUUCGUG